UACGUAGGGGGCAAGCGUUGUCCGGAUUUAUUGGGCGUAAAGAGCGUGUAGGCGGCCAUGUAGGUCCGUUGUGAAAACUCGAGGCUCAACCUCGAGACGCCGAUGGAAACCAUGUGGCUAGAGUCCGGAAGAGGAGAGUGGAAUUCCCGGUGUAGCGGUGAAAUGCGCAGAUAUCAGGAAGAACACCCGUGGCGAAGGCGGCUCUCUGGGACGGUACUGACGCUGAGACGCGAAAGCGUGGGGAGCGAACGGG
rnacentral:rRNA from 1 species